ACACUGUACGAGUUUGAUCAUGGCUCAGAACGAACGCUGGCGGCAGGCCUAACACAUGCAAGUCGAGCGCCCCGCAAGGGGAGCGGCGGACGGGUGAGUAACGCGUGGGAACGUACCCUUUGCUACGGAAUAGCCUCGGGAAACUGGGAGUAAUACCGUAUGUGCCCUUCGGGGGAAAGAUUUAUCGGCAAAGGAUCGGCCCGCGUUGGAUUAGGUAGUUGGUGGGGUAAUGGCCUACCAAGCCGACGAUCCAUAGCUGGUUUGAGAGGAUGAUCAGCCACACUGGGACUGAGACACGGCCCAGACUCCUACGGGAGGCAGCAGUGGGGAAUCUUAGACAAUGGGCGCAAGCCUGAUCUAGCCAUGCCGCGUGAGCGAUGAAGGCCUUAGGGUUGUAAAGCUCUUUCAGUGGGGAAGAUAAUGACUGUACCCACAGAAGAAGCCCCGGCUAACUCCGUG
rnacentral:rRNA from 1 species